UUUAGUCACUGUAACGCCCCGAAUAGUCCCACAUCGAGUGGGAUACUGAUUCCGAUCAGUUUAUAUGAGGCCUACACGCUAGUAAUAAUAAUUGGGCUUAAGCAUUUUGGGCCGGUGGUUUAGGCCCAACGAGUUAUUGUUGCUAGUGGGUCGGGUCGUUGCUAUUGGUAUCAGAGCUGAAUACCAGCCAGAAGUGUGAGAGCUAAGUGCUAUGCGCUACAAAGUGCUACACCAAUGAAUUUGGUGGGAGCCACCUCUAGAAUCUGAAUCUCACAUCGCCUGGUAAUUCUGCUCCUGGUCUGUUUGUGAUCUGGUUUAGACCCUAAUAGUCUCACAUCGGGUGGGAUACUAAUUCUGAUCAGUUUAUAUGAGGCAUACACGCUAUUAAUAAUAACUGGACUGAAGCAUUUUGGGCCGGUGGUUUGGGCCCAACGAGUUAUUGUUGCUAGAGGGUCGGGUGGUUGCAGUCACUUCAUCGGCCUUGAUAAAACUUUCCAAAACCACUCAC
rnacentral:lncRNA from 1 species